AGGGUGCCCGCGGCGAUGAGGGUGCAGCCCGGACGCGGUGAUUCCCACGCGCGAUACGCGCGCGAGGCGAUCACCCAGGGCGUGGGCACCGCGUCGACAUCGCAGAACGGGCCGAGUUCGCGUGGGACAUAGUGGCCAGCCACCCGCUCGGCGGCGCGCCAAAAGCGCGCGCACAGGGCCAACAUCCUCUCAAUCAUGACAGAGUCGCGCUGCGGUCCCAGACGAUGGAACCCGACGCCAUGGGCCAUCGCCGAGAUAGCAAUGCAGAGACGCGUGGUCAUCGGGCGCCUGCCUUGCAUCGUCUCCUCGGCCACCAUCGCCCACGCGGCCCAAUCUAUUUCGCUCGCUCGGCCGCCGAGGUCGCUCUCUGCUCGGUCGCCAUGGUCGUCCAUCGCGACUGUCGCCUCUUUCGCUCGGAAAAAAAAGCAAGGAUAAUUUGGUCGGCGAGCAAGGCUGCCAAUACCCAGUGGAUGAGGAAAAGAAUUUGCCAGGUCGCGCUUGGGGUCGUCGCCGGCCUCUUCCUUGGCGUUGGGACGGUCUCGUCCUUGCCUUCUUUUUUUGUUUUUCCUUUCUGCCGUGCUCACCCCCCCUCCAGCGGUUGUGCGCCAGGAUUCGCGGCUUGGCACAGGAAGGAAAAAGUGCCCGUUCGUCGGCCAACCAAGAAGAGAAAAGAGGCGGGUGCGAAUUGGCAGACAGCGCCGCCUCUGCCUGCGCCACCGCCGGCAAGCACUCCAGGUGGCGGCCGCUCCGCCCAGGCUACGUCCCGAGCCGGUCGCGACUCGCCGGACCAGCGCUUGCGCGUGGUUAGUUGGCUAGUGGUCGACCAAGGACCUUGGUCGGCCGGUUAGCCAUGGCCAAGUCGGAUGUAUGAAAGUCCUGUCGACUGAAUGAAUCAUAAUAAAAAAAAAAAGGAAGAAAAAUCACGACAACGACCAAGAGACGCGCGCGAACCAAACUCGAUUUUCCAUUCCGACUGAACAGCGAGCGCGAACCGGCGCGCUCGCGUCUGGAUCUGAAUAACUGGUUUUAUCCGAC
rnacentral:lncRNA from 1 species